rnacentral:rRNA from 1 species
GUCUUUUUGAUCAUAAUUUAAAGUCUAACCUGCCCAAUGAGUAGUUAAAUGGCCGCGGUAAUUUGACCGUGCAAAGGUAGCAUAAUCAUUAGUUUUUUAAUUGAAAGCUGGAAUGAAUGGUUGGACGAGAAAAUAACUGUCUCAAUUUAAUUGUAUAUAGAAUUUUAUUUAUAAGUAAAAAAGCUUAUAUAAGUUUAAAAGACGAGAAGACCCUAUAGAAUUUUAUAGAUUAAUAUAAUAUUAUUUUUUAGGAUAAAUAAAUAAUAUGAUAUUAAUUUAUUUUGUUGGGGUGACAGAAAAAUUUAAUUAACUUUUUUUAUAUAAAAUCAUAAAUGCAUGUAUUCUUGAUCCGUAAAUUACGAUUAUAAGAUUAAAUUACCUUAGGGAUAACAGCGUAAUUUUUUUUUAGAGUUCUUAUCGAAAAAAGAGUUUGCGACCUCGAUGUUGGAUUAAAAUUAACUUUUGGUGUAGGUGCUAAAAAGUUAGGUCUGUUCGACCUUUAAAAUUUUACAUGAUCUGAGU